rnacentral:lncRNA from 1 species
AGGAGAUGAAGUAUUUUCCAAAUCGAAUUGGCCAAAUGUUCAUCACAAAUUCAGCCCUUGCUGCAAGAUACAGUUUAAAUGGCCAUUAAGCUCCAGAUGAUCUUCAGUAUGAGGGAUACCAUCCUCUCAAUAUUCAAGAGUCACCCUUCUACAGAGCGUACCCCUAGACUGCCAAUCAGUGGAACAUGACAAAGCAAGAAUUGAAGACACUGCAGACCCGUACAGAUUCGCUGCUGCUAACAUCAGCACCAGUCUCAGGACCACCAUUAGAUAUUC